rnacentral:rRNA from 1 species
UACGUAGGGUGCGAGCGUUGUCCGGAAUUAUUGGGCGUAAAGAGCUCGUAGGCGGUUUGUCGCGUCGAAUGUGAAAACCUGGGGCUCAACCCCGGGCGUGCGGUGGAUACUGCCGGGCUAGAGGGUGGUAGAGGCGAGUGGAAUUCCCGGUGUAGCGGUGAAAUGCGCAGAUAUCAGGAGGAACACCGAUGGCGAAGGCAGCUCGCUGGGACGGUACUGACGCUGAGGCGCGAAAGCGUGGGGAGCGAACAGG